UAUUGGCGUCGGCCGCGCUGUAUUGUCAUAAAUAGAGCCGGUUUUGUGGUGUUUUCACUGCUCGGUUGGGUGCCUCAGCAGUAGUGAGCGCGGAAGUGAGAGCGCGGAGCGAGCUCGGAGCGACGGGAGGAAAGCCGACAGAGGGACUCGGACUCCACAGCGAAAAGACAGGGAGACGCAGGAAGCGAUGAAAGAAAUGUCUGCAAAUACCAUGCUGGACAGCCAGCGUCAACAAAAGCAUUAUGGAAUAACUUCUCCAAUAAGUUUGGCAUGUCCUAAAGAAAUUGACCAUAUUUACACACAGAAAUUAAUUGAUGCCAUGAAACCAUUUGGAGUAUUUGAAGAUGAGGAAGAAUUGAACCACAGGCUUGUUGUUCUUGGUAAAUUGAAUAACUUAGUAAAAGAAUGGAUUUCUGAUGUCAGUGAGAGUAAGAAUCUUCCACCUUCUGUUGUAGCCACUGUGGGUGGUAAAAUUUUCACAUUUGGAUCCUACAGACUGGGAGUACACACCAAAGGAGCUGACAUUGAUGCACUGUGUGUAGCUCCAAGACAUGUGGAAAGAUCUGAUUUUUUUCAGUCUUUUUUUGAAAAACUGAAACAUCAAGAUGGGAUUAGAAACCUAAGAGCUGUUGAAGAUGCUUUUGUACCUGUUAUAAAAUUUGAAUUUGAUGGUAUUGAAAUUGAUCUCGUCUUUGCAAGACUGGCAAUACAAACUAUAUCAGAUAAUUUAGAUCUAAGAGAUGACUCUCGCCUCAGAAGCCUUGAUAUAAGGUGUAUUCGCAGCUUAAAUGGAUGCAGAGUUACUGAUGAGAUUUUACAUUUAGUGCCAAAUAAAGAAACUUUUAGACUCACCCUCAGAGCAGUCAAAUUAUGGGCAAAACGUCGUGGUAUUUAUUCCAACAUGCUGGGUUUCCUUGGUGGAGUCUCCUGGGCCAUGCUAGUUGCCAGAACUUGCCAAUUGUAUCCAAAUGCAGCAGCAUCAACUUUAGUUCAUAAGUUUUUUUUAGUUUUUUCCAAAUGGGAAUGGCCAAAUCCUGUGCUCUUGAAACAGCCAGAAGAAAGCAAUUUGAAUUUGCCUGUCUGGGAUCCUCGGGUAAAUCCAUCAGAUAGAUACCAUCUCAUGCCCAUAAUCACCCCUGCCUACCCACAACAGAAUUCUACAUAUAAUGUAUCCACAUCAACUCGAACAGUAAUGGUAGAAGAAUUUAAACAAGGUCUUGCAGUUACAGAUGAAAUUCUUCAAGGGAAAUCAGAUUGGUCCAAACUACUUGAGCCACCAAAUUUCUUUCAAAAAUAUAGACAUUAUAUAGUAUUGACUGCCAGUGCAUCAACAGAAGAACACCAUCUAGAAUGGGUUGGAUUAGUAGAGUCUAAAAUCCGUGUACUUGUUGGAAACUUGGAACGGAAUGAAUUUAUUACUCUUGCCCAUGUGAAUCCCCAGUCAUUUCCAGGAAAUAAGGAACACCAUAAAGACAACAAUUACGUAUCAAUGUGGUUCCUCGGGAUAAUUUUUCGGAGAGUAGAAAAUGCAGAAAGUGUUAACAUAGACUUGACAUAUGAUAUACAGUCAUUUACUGAUACAGUGUACAGACAGGCAAACAAUAUAAAUAUGCUGAAGGAUGGAAUGAAAAUUGAAGCAACUCAUGUAAAGAAAAAACAACUUCAUCACUACCUUCCAGCAGAGAUUCUUCAAAAGAAGAAAAAGCAAAGUCUCUGUGAUGUCAGUCGAAGUUCAGGUGGAUGUCAAUCCAAAAGAUUAUCUCUGGAUAGCAGUUGUCUGGAUAGCUCCAGAGAUACUGACAAUGGAACACCUUUUAAUUCUCCGUUGUCUACAAACAAACCUUCCAAACCAGAUAGCCCUCCUGGAGAAACAGAAAGGACUAGUGCUGAGCCUGCUAGUAUAAUUGUGGAGAAGCCACUGCAUGUCCCACCAGCUCAAGGACUAUCUAUUCCAGUCAUUGGUGCAAAGGUUGACUCUACGGUAAAAGCUGUAUCGACCCCAGCUGUGUGUACCAUUCCUACUGUAGUAGGACGAAAUGUCAUUCCUAGAAUCACAACAUCCCACAACCCUACCCAGGGACAACCACAUCUAAAUGGAAUGUCAAAUAUAGCUAAGAAUCUUAUACCCAAAAGAUCCCAUUCCCCGUCCAUAGAUGGAACUUCUAAGAGGUUGAAAGAUAUAGAAAAGUUUAUUCGACUUGAAUCAGCAUUUAAGGACCCCCGUGUUGCUGAAGAGAGAACAGGAAAAUCAGUGGAUACUAUUGGAGGAGAAUCUAUGCCUAUUCCAACUAUUGAUACAUCACGUAAAAAGAGACUACCCAGUAAAGAACUACCAGAUUCAUCAUCUCCAGUUCCAGCAAAUAACAUACGUGUUAUCAAAAAUUCCAUUCGAUUGACCCUUAAUCGGUAAAAGCAGUAUCUCCUCACUUAUGUGAACAUGCAGUCAGAUAGUGGCAUAGGUGCAGCUACUUUUCAAAGUAGAAAUGGCUGCCAUCCAUAAAAUAGCAGUUAGUAGGUCCAGCAGGAAAAACACAAGUGGUACAUUUUGUGAGGGGGAAAUACCUGGAUGUUUGCUUUAUUGGACUCAUGGGAUGCCAUCUAGUUCAUGCAGGUACAGAAAUCUGUUUUACUUGCAAACCCUUUACCUUUGAGUUUAAGUUCUUGAAUUCAGGUUGUCAGAGUGUAGUACUAUCUCUUUUCCACUCCUUUUUCUUGACCCCAAAGUCUCUGAUGUGAAAAUUCUUAAGUUUUAACUUUUACAAAGGAAACAUAAAGAAACGAAGAAAAGCAAUGAAAAAAAAAAAAAAGAUUGUUCUACUAUUCAUUUUUUACACAGCAGCAAAAGACAAGAAUGAAAUCUCAUCACAAAGAUACAGCUUCUGUUUAGCCAACCUCUUUCUUAAAUUCAGAUAUUUUGCAUUUGUUCUAUAAGUACUGUAUUUGAACAAAAGUAAACCUAGGACCUAAUAAUUGUCAUAUAACUUUGAAUUCUGAAAAUUUAUUUGGUAAUGGAUUUGAUUAAAUUUUAUAUUUUUGAUACAUAUACAUUUGUAUAUUUCGUAUCCUCUGCUUUUAAAUCAGCCUUUACAGUCUCUUAAGAAUUCUUUAUGUAUCCGUAAGGAUACUGUUUUGGAGUGAUGAGUUUCUUCUUCAGGAAUAAACAAGUCUAGUCCUAUACUAUCAUAGAGUCAUUUCUCUUGGAUUAAAGUUUCAUUCACCAUGCUAUUCAGACAUCGUCAAUAAUUGAACAUCAGAAUCAUUAAAGACAUUAUUAUUCAACCUACUUGGCAACUUCUGAGUUAAUCAGCUGCUUUAGAGAUGGUAGGUUUGUUCUGAAAGGAAGUGUUUUCCUAUAAUGACCAGUAGAAAGGACUUUCAUUACAUUUCAUUAUCAUAGUGGGAGGCCUGUUUGAUUUGUUCCAAGUAAAAGGAGAAGAUAGGGCGUAGAAUUAAAUGUUACAUUCAGAGGUAUUAACUACAUGUGUUUCAUACUUGUUUCAAGUGUGAAACUAUAACUAGAAAUAUAUUCUAUGAACUCAGCCCAUUCUUUAACAUAGACACAUGUUGUUUUCAUAAAGAAUUAAUCUGCUCACUUUUAAAAGACUGGUUCUAGAAAAUGGCAUAUAUCAAAGGGAAAAAAUAGUUAUAUGUUGCUUUAAACUUCAAAAACAAUUUGAGACCAAAGGUACUAUGAUAACAUCUUGUAAAACGGGGGCAGGAAAACAAAUUUUCAAAGUUUAUAUUGGUGCUAAAAAAAGACUUUUUUUCCCUUAAGGCAGCCAUUUGUUAGUAUUAUUUAAAUGCUUACUAUGGUAACAGUGAAAAUGGCAGUGUCAAAAGGGCUAAAAUUAACUUUUCACUAUGUUCUACAGUUUUGAAAUAGGAAAUCCUAACUUGAGGAUCAUGAAUCUUUAGGAAUUCCUUUGUAUCAUUAUAUAUGUUUUUAUUUAUAUGCAAUUCUAGAGGGAAGUUCAUAACUUUCAUCAGUGAUUCAUGACCUCCAAAAGGGGAGCAGAGUAGGAACCACCAGAAUUGAACAGUCCUAGAAUAUUAACAGUUUUCGCCAUUCGAUUUCACUGCAGUAUAUUUCUAAAAAUGUACUGUAGCUCUUAACUAAUAAAAGGGGCUGGUACAGUUUCAUAAACAUCGUGUUUCUAAGGUUCUUUAUAGACUUCAGAUGAAAAGGCAAUGUGGCCUGUGUAUUGAAAAAUGUUUAUCAUUAGAUUUAGAAGUGUUCUCAUGUUAGGUUCAUUAACAAGGUCAAAUGCAAGUGUCAUAAAUUUAACUGAAAGGUGGGCCAAGGGAAUACCUUAGAGUAAUUAUUAGAAGUGGUAACAAAUAGAAGAUCCUAACCUUUGAACUUAAUAGCUUUAAUGUUCUCACUUGGUCCUCCCAAGUUUAUUCAUUCUAGAACAGACUGAACAGAUGAAUAAAUACAAAUUCUUUAGUUCUAAAUAUCUAUUUUUAUAUAAAUAAAAUUGUAUUUAACUAGACAACUACCUAAUAAAUUGUCCAAAGUGUAUCAUUUAAAUCAGUUGUGAACAGAACAAAUAAUGUAGAUAGAUGAUGGAAGGAAACCAGUCUCGAUAGUGGUAAUUAUUUCCUUAGGGUUUUCUGAAAGAAUUGUACAAGGUCCCCUCUCUAAUUCCCUAUAUUUUUUCUGGAAUAAUUUUUAUAUAAUCUUUUGAAACUAGUUGAAUAUAAAGUUAUUCAGUUUAUGGUAAUUUUUAAGCUACUGCUACAUUGUAGCAAAGACCCAUGCAAUUAUUUUAUAAACUACUUAGGAUAUCUUUAUAAAUGAUACAACAUCAUCCCACAGUAUUCUGUAAAAUGAAUGCAGCUGCUGUUGCUUUCUAGACAGCUGUUUAUAUAGUCCACAGUAAUUUUUCCUGCCAUUUAUUUGAAUUGUCUUAUUUCUUAGUUGUACACAUAAGCCUUAUUUAUCUGGAAUAAGUAAUCAAAUAAACUUGCUUUGAUAAAUAGGUGAUGGUUGAGUGAUAAUUGAGAGUAACUCAAAAGUACCAGAAGUCUUCAUAGUUUUUCCAACAACCAAUUAGCUAGGUAAUGUUAUUUACUAACUUUCUAAUAUGGCAAAGGUCAGACUAUUUGCCUUACCCAGAAUUUCUCAUUAAACAUUUAAUAGCAAGUAGUAACAGCAGUUUAUAUACCUGGCUCUUAAGUUUAAAGAAGUCUCAAUGUCCUUUUAGAUUAUCUGACCACACUUUUCAUGAAUAGGUCACUUGAGGCAUCUGUGUCAAAUAUUACAGGAAAAAUCCUGUCAACUUUGUGGUCAGCCUAAGCCAAUCAGAAACUUAAUGGCUGGACACAGGUGCAUUUAGCAAUCAAGCCUAGGGUAAUAUUCCUAGAAGCACAGAGCCUGUUACAUUAUUAUACCUCUUGGUAGCACAUGCUGUCAUCCUAGCUAUGAUAAGCAAAAAAUAGGAUUAUGGUCCAGCUACUGCCCAGGGCAGGAAGCAAUACCCUACCUCACAAAAUAAAAGUGUGCAAUGAAAUUAAGAACAGUAUUAAAGUGUUUGCAUUUUACUGUUUA